rnacentral:rRNA from 1 species
GUAAACUGCUUUUAUACGGGAGCAAUAAGGGUUACGAGUAAUCCGAUGAGAGUACUGUAUGAAUAAGGAUCGGCUAACUCCGUGCCAGCAGCCGCGGUAAUACGGAGGAUCCGAGCGUUAUCCGGAAUUAUUGGGUUUAAAGGGUGCGUAGGCGGCCAUUUAAGUCAGCGGUGAAAUUUUGCAGCUUAACUGUAACAGUGCCGUUGAUACUGUUUGGCUAGGAUUUGGUUGUAGUGUGCGGAAUGUGUGGUGUAGCGGUGAAAUGCUUAGAUAUCACACAGAACACCGAUUGCGAAGGCAGCACACUAAGUCAUUAUUGACGCUGAGGCACGAAAGUGUGGGGAUCAAACAGGAUUAGAUACCCUGGUAGUCCACACUGUAAACGAUGAUAACUCGCUGUCGGCGAUACACAGUCGGUGGCCAAGCGAAAGCAUUAAGUUAUCCACCUGGGGAGUACGACCGCAAGGUUGAAACUCAAAGGAAUUGACGGGGGCCCGCACAAGCGGAGGAACAUGUGGUUUAAUUCGAUGAUACGCGAGGAACCUUACCCGGGCUCGAACGGUGCAUGAAUAUACGAGAGAUUGUAUAGUCCUUCGGGACAUGUAUCGAGGUGCUGCAUGGUUGUCGUCAGCUCGUGCCGUGAGGUGUCGGCUUAAGUGCCAUAACGAGCGCAACCCUUGUCAUUAGUUGCCAUCAGGUCAAGCUGGGGACUUUAAUGAGACUGCCACCGUAAGGUGUGAGGAAGGGGGGGAUGACGUCAAAUCAGCACGGCCCUUAUGUCCGGGGCGACACACGUGUUACAAUGGGAGGUACAGAGGGCAGCUAUCCGGUGACGGAAUGCUAAUCUCCAAAACCUUUCUCAGUUCGGAUUGGAGUCUGCAACUCGACUCCAUGAAGGUGGAUUCGCUAGUAAUCGCGCAUCAGCCAUGGCGCGGUGAAUACGUUCCCGGGCCUUGUACACACCGCCCGUCAAG